AAGCGCGGGCGGCGGCGCGGGCUGUGCGCGCGCGCCAUGAAGGAGACGCGCGGUACUUCCAGGCAGCAGAACCAGCCUCAAGGGCACUAUGGACUUACCUCUCCAAUUAGCUUGGCUCCUCCCAGUGACAAAGACCACAUCCAUACUCAGAAGCUGAUUGAAGCAAUGAAGCCAUUUGGGGUGUUUGAGGAUCAGGAAGAACUCUAUCACAGGACAACUGUUCUUGGAAAACUGAAUAACUUUGUCAGAGAAUGGAUUUCAGAGCUUGCUGAAAGCAAGAACCUUCCCCCUUCAAUAACAGAACAAGUUGGUGGCAAAAUAUUUACGUUUGGCUCCUACAGACUUGGAGUACACACCAAAGGUUCAGACAUCGAUGCCCUCUGUGUUGCUCCGAGUCACGUGGAAAGAUCAGAUUUUUUUCAGUCAUUCUUUGAAAAGCUGAAGAAUCAAGAGGAAGUAAAAAACCUGAGAGCCAUUGAGGAUGCAUAUGUACCUGUUAUCAAAUUUGAGUUUGAUGGCAUUGAGAUUGACCUUGUGUUUGCAAAGCUCUCUCUGCCCACGGUCUCUGAUGAUCUCGAUCUCAGGGAUGACUCGUGCCUCAAGAGCCUGGAUAUAAGAUGCAUCCGGAGCCUGAAUGGCAGCAGGGUCACAGAUGAAAUUCUGCGCCUGGUGCCCAACCUGGAGAACUUCCGCCUCACGCUCCGUGCAGUUAAACUGUGGGCAAAACGACGUGGUGUUUACUCCAACAUCAUGGGAUUUCUUGGUGGAGUCUCCUGGGCCAUGCUGGUAGCAAGAAUAUGUCAACUCUACCCAAAUGCUUUGGCCUCUACUCUCGUUAACAAGUUCUUCUUGAUUUUUUCAAAAUGGGAUUGGCCAAAGCCAGUAUUGCUGAAACGACUGGAAGAGAGCUUUCUUAAUUUACCAGUCUGGGACCCCAGGGUGAACCCAUCAGACCGGUACCAUGUGAUGCCCAUCAUCACCCCAGCCUACCCGCAGCAGAACUCCACCUACAACGUGUCUGUGUCAACACGGGCAGUCAUGGUGGAGGAGUUCCAGCGUGGUCUUGAAGUUACAGAUGAGAUUCUCAAAGGAAAAUCAGACUGGUCAAAGCUCUUUGAACCACUGAACUUCUUUCAGAAGUACAAACAUUACAUUGUGCUGACUGCCAGUGCCUUUACAGAAGAGCAUCACCUGAACUGGAUUGGCCUGGUGGAGUCUAAAAUCCGUGUGCUGGUUGGAAACUUGGAAAGGAAUGAAUUUAUAACUAUUGCACACGUGCAGCCACAGUCUUUCCCUGGCAAUGAAGUUCUCUAUAAACAGAGUGGAUUUGUAUCAAUGUGGUUUCUUGGGCUUGUGUUUAAGAAAGCAGAAAGUGCAGUAAAGACUAACGUUGAUCUAACACAUGGGAUACAGUCAUUCACAGACACAGUUUACAGGCAGGCCAGUGCCCUCAACAUCCUAAAGGAAGGUAUGAAGAUUGAGGCAACUUAUGUGAAGAGAAAGCAACUCCAUUAUUUUUUGCCAGCAGGAACCUUACAGAAAAGAAAGAAGCAAAGGGUGUCAGAUAUUAGUCAAAAUAAUAGUGGACUUCAGUGCAAAAGGUCUUCUUUAGGUGAAAGCUGUUCGGAUGGUUCCAAAGACAGAGAUUCCAGAACACCCUCUAAUUCCUCUUCGUUAAAUAAGAUAUCUAAGUUGGACAUCUCUACAGCAGAGACAGAAAGCUAAACGUGUGGGACUCGGAUUUCACAGAAAGUGGAUACCCUCAAGAUGGGAGGAAGAGAGCUACAAAAAAUGGUGUCCUUGAUGGAAAAUCCAUGCAGAUUCCAGUGAUCACAUCAAGAUCACAGAGGCUUUCCAGUAAAGAACUGCCAGAUUCUUCAUCUCCUGUUCCAACAAAUAGCAUUCGUAUCAUUAAAAGAUCCAUCAAACUUACCCUUAAUGGUGCAGAUGGGAUCUGCUUAAAAAAAUCUAAACAACUAAACCAACUCUAAAGGGAUGGGAGGAAGGCAGUGCCAGAAAAAAAGCUUUCUACAGAAUUUUAAUGUCACAGAAUAAUUUAGGUUGGAAAAACCUUUAGGUUAGAGUCCAGCUGUAAACCUAACACUGCCACAUCUACCACUAAACUGCCAUGCUAGAGUAAUGCUGAGGAGACCAGGAGCACUGCUGUGCUUUCCUGCUUCUGCUAGAUCUGGGGUUUGAUUUAGUGCCCUCUGCAUUUUGCUGUUUGUGCAAACUGCAUGACUCACCCGAAGUCCCAAUUUGGUAUGUGGACAAAGAUAUCCCUGAAUUGUUUUAAAAUGAGUUGCCUGUCUUAAAGAGCAAAUCUGAGCUCUAAACAUCUUAAGUAUCCACCUCAGUGAGGAGAGUGAAGGACUGUAAGGAAAUAGGAGGUGAUAUCUAUCUUGUCAUGAGUCCUUAGCAUUCCCUCUGCUGCCAGUAUCCCAAACCCUUGGGGAAAGCAUGGCUACAUUAAUCACAAUCUACUUUUUUUUUCCCCUUGUUCUCUGGUUUCCAGCUUGUUUCAAGUGCAAUUUAUCCCUUAGAAAUUGACCUUAGUGGGUUUUAGGCCUUGUUCUUCCUUCUACCCUCCAAAACCCCCAAAAUUUAGACUGCAAAGCUUUGAUUCAGGUUAAAAUUAAGAAACAGUACCCCUAUUACUUAAGUAGCUUUUAGCAGAACUACACCUUGGGUUUAUCAAAUGACUGCCUCCUUUUUGUGACCUGUUCCAAACCAGUGGCACUCAAACAUUGUCACUUCUGUGUACCAGUUACAGUAGGUAUACAGCUUCAGCACCUGUGUAAAUACA